rnacentral:rRNA from 1 species
UACGUAGGGUGCGAGCGUUGUCCGGAAUUAUUGGGCAUAAAGAGCUUGUAGGCGGUCUGUCGCGUCUGCUGUGAAAAUCCGGGGCUCAACCCCGGACUUGCAGUGGGUACGGGCAGACUAGAGUGUGGUAGGGGAGACUGGAAUUCCUGGUGUAGCGGUGAAAUGCGCAGAUAUCAGGAGGAACACCGGAUGGCGAAGGCAGGUCUCUGGGCCACUACUGACGCUG